AUUGAACGCUGGCGGCAUGCCUUACACAUGCAAGUCGAACGGCAGCACGGGAGCAAUCCUGGUGGCGAGUGGCGAACGGGUGAGUAAAGUAUCGGAACGUGCCCAGUCGUGGGGGAUAACGUAGCGAAAGUUACGCUAAUACCGCAUACGAUCUAUGGAUGAAAGCGGGGGAUCGCAAGACCUCGCGCGAUUGGAGCGGCCGAUAUCAGAUUAGGUAGUUGGUGGGGUAAAGGCUCACCAAGCCGACGAUCUGUAGCUGGUCUGAGAGGACGACCAGCCACACUGGGACUGAGACACGGCCCAGACUCCUACGGGAGGCAGCAGUGGGGAAGUUUGGACAAAGGGCGAAAGCCUGAUCCAGCCAUGCCGCGUGCAGGAUGAAGGCCUUCGGGUUGUAAACUGCUUUUGUACGGAACGAAAAGGUUUGGCCUAAUAAGCUGAGCUCAUGACGGUACCGUAAGAAUAAGCACCGGCUAACUACGUGCCAGCCGCCGCAGUAA
rnacentral:rRNA from 1 species